rnacentral:rRNA from 1 species
GACGAACGCUGGCGGCGUGCUUAACACAUGCAAGUCGAACGGAAAGGCCCUGUUUUUGUGGGGCGCUCGAGUGGCGAACGGGUGAGUAACACGUGAGUAACCUGCCCUUGACGUUGGGAUAACUUCAGGAAACUGGGGCUAAUACCGGAUAGGAGCUCCUGCUGCAUGGUGGGGGUUGGAAAGGUUCGGCGGUUGGGGAUGGACUCGCGGCUUAUCAGCUUGUUGGUGGGGUAGUGGCUUACCAAGGCUUUGACGGGUAGCCGGCCUGAGAGGGUGACCGGCCACAUUGGGACUGGGAUACGGCCCAGACUCCUACGGGAGGCAGCAGUGGGGAAUAUUGCACAAUGGGCGGAAGCCUGAUGCAGCAACGCCGCGUGCGGGAUGACGGCCUUCGGGUUGUAAACCGCUUUCGCCUGUGACGAAGCGUGAGUGACGGUAAUGGGUAAAGAAGCACCGGCUAACUACGUG